GACGAACGCUGGCGGCGUGCUUAACACAUGCAAGUCGAACGGAAAGGCCCUGCUUUUGUGGGGUGCUCGAGUGGCGAACGGGUGAGUAACACGUGAGUAACCUGCCCUUGACUUUGGGAUAACUUCAGGAAACUGGGGCUAAUACCGGAUAGGAGCUCCUGCUGCAUGGUGGGGGUUGGAAAGUUUCGGCGGUUGGGGAUGGACUGGCGGCUUAUCAGCUUGUUGGUGGGGUAGUGGCUUACCAAGGCUUGGACGGGUAGCCGGCCUGGGAGGGUGACCGGGCACAUUGGGACUGAGGUACGGCCCAGACUCCUACGGGAGGCAGCAGUGGGGAAUAUUGCACAAUGGGCGGAAGCCUGAUGCAGCAACGCCGCGUGCGGGAUGACGGCCUUCGGGUUGUAAACCGCUUUCGCCUGUGACGAAGCGUGAGUGACGGUAAUGGGUAAAGAAGCACCGGCUAACUACGUG
rnacentral:rRNA from 1 species